rnacentral:rRNA from 1 species
CGCAUCUGUGCAUGCAGCAUAUCAAUAAGCGGAGGAAAAGAAACUAACAAGGAUUCCCCUAGUAACGGCGAGUGAAGCGGGAAGAGCUCAAAUUUGAAAUCUUAAAGGGUUUCCCUUUACGAAUUGUAGUUUAAAGAAGUGUUUUCUGUUGAGGUUUUGGUAAAAGUUCUUUGGAAUAGGACAUCAUAGAGGGUGAGAAUCCCGUAUUUGACCUUUACUUUCAACUUUGUGAUACACUUUCAAAGAGUCGGAUUGUUUGGGAAUGCAGUCCAAAAUGGGUGGUAAAUUUCAUCUAAAGCUAAAUAUUGGCGAGAGACCGAUAGCGAACAAGUACCGUGAGGGAAAGAUGAAAAGAACUUUGAAAAGAGAGUUAAACAGUACGUGAAAUUGUCAAAAGGGAAGCGUUUGACACCAGUGUUGUUUUUCUGAAAAUCAAUUAAAGAACUGUUUAUGCUAAGCUGUUUAGACUUUAUCAGCUAAUCUGUUUAGUUUUGAGCUUUUCUUUAAUGCACUUUUCAGUUAACAAGUCAACAUCAAUUUCUUUUGCUGUAAAAAAGCUUGAGGAAGGUGGCUUGAGAUUCGUCUUAAGUGUUUAUAGCCUCUUGCCUAUGCAGUCGGAGAGAUUGAGGUCUGCAGCGUAGAUCCUUCGGGGCUAAAUGCAUUUGUGCUAAGUUAUAACAUUUUCAUAGACAACUUGUUGACUAUGAUUUGUCUUGUAGCUUACUCGCUUAUGUUAUUUUACCUACGCUUAGGAUGUUGACAGCAGUAUAGACUGU